AGUGAACGCUGGCGGUAGGCCUAACACAUGCAAGUCGAACGGCAGCACAGGAGAGCUUGCUCUCUAGGUGGCGAGUGGCGGACGGGUGAGGAAUACAUCGGAAUCUGCCCAGUCGUGGGGGAUAACGUAGGGAAACUUACCCUAAUACCGCAUACGACCUUCGGGUGAAAGAGGGGGAUCGCAAGACCUCUCGCGAUUGGAUGAGCCGAUGUCGGAUUAGCUAGUUAGCGGGGUAAUGGCCCACCAAGGCGACGAUCCGUAGCUGGUCUGAGAGGAUGAUCAGCCACACUGGAACUGAGACACGGUCCAGACUCCUACGGGAGGCAGCAGUGGGGAAUAUUGGACAAUGGGCGCAAGCCUGAUCCAGCCAUACCGCGUGGGUGAAGAAGGCCUUCGGGUUGUAAAGCCCUUUUGUUGGGAAAGAAAUCUUUCAGGCUAAUACCCUGGGAGGAUGACGGUACCCAAAGAAUAAGCACCGGCUAACUUCGUG
rnacentral:rRNA from 1 species